CGGGAAAGGGAACAGGAACGGGGAACGGGAAAGGGAACAGGAACGGGGAACGGGAACGGGGAACAGGGACGGGAACGGGGAUAAGGAUGGGAAUGCGAACGGGAAUGGGGACAGGACCGUGAAUGGGGAUGGGAACAGGAACGGGGAAUGGGAGCGGGAAACGGGAACGGGGACAGGAAUGGGAACAGAAACGGGAAUGGGAACGGGAUGGGAACGGGAACGAGGACGGGGAUGGGGCCGGGGACGGGAGCGUGGGGCAGUUCUGGGCUGCUCAGGGGGUACCAGUGUGUGCAGGGGUGUGCGGGGGGUACUGGGGUGUGCAGGGCUGUGCACGGGUGUCCUGUGGGAGCCGAUCCCUGCCUGCCCCGCGCCCCAGCAGCUCCCCAGCUCCCCUCAGCCCCGGUGCCGGUGCCGCGGCCGGGGCGGGUGCUGAGCCAGCGCCUGAGUCCGGCCGGGAAGAGAGGGGAGGAGAAGGGCGUGAUCAGGUGUGUGAGACAGGGCUGGACCUGCUGAGCCCCUUGGACACGUUCUGCUCAUCCCAGCUGGGAAAGACCCGAGAUCUCCUCGUUCCUGGGCCUCUCCUUGUUACCCAUGAAUAUGGAGAGACACAGACAGCCAAUUUCUGAAGCAGCUUCGCCAGAGCCUCCUGCCUCCUCCUCCAGCCUCUGCUGUUUCCCACCCUGUGCUGGUGACCCCUGUGGAUCCCUGGGGGCUGGAGCUGCUCUCCUGCCUCUGACCCCAGCCCAGCUGUGAGCCCUGACCACUGCAGCUCUGUGCCCUGUGCCGUGGCUCACUGGCAGCACCAGGGACACGGGUGACCCCAGCCAGGCCAGUGUGGCACAUGGCACAGUGUGGCACUGCCAUGCUUCGUGUCCUGGGCCUGGGAGCUGAGCUCCAUGUGCAGGGCUCCCGGGGCUCUCAGCUGCAGCCCAGCGAGGCAAGAGGGGCCACUUCAGCCUCCAGGAGCUGCUGGGAACCGGCAGCGUCAGCACAGCGCCGAGCCCAAAGUGUUUUGCAAGCAGAAGGGCGCGGGUGCUUUCCUUAUUUGGCACACCUGGCCGGGCACACCUGGCCGGGCACACCUGGCAGCUCCUGCUGACGCGGGAUGGGAGCGGGGCGGGACCCGCCUCGCUAAUGACAGCCGGCGCUGGGCGUGGGGACAAGCCGCGGCAGGGACGCGUCCCGGCAGCCAAAACAAGGCUGGUGACACGCCAGCAGCUCAGCCCGGCACCCCCAGACCCCGCUCCUGCACCGGGGGUCCCCGGCUCUGGGGGUCUCCUGCCCCGGGGCCGCCGGGCUGUUGCCACGUUUCUCUCCACAAAGAAAAACAAACCAGAAUUAUUCCCAAGAAUAUUUGUGAAUGUCACAUUCUCUCAGCAUCCGAGGAAGAAAACAGAAUUCUUAUCGUGUUUGCUAUACCUGUGCUAUACCAAAAUAGAAUAUAAUAUAAAGAUUAUUUAUCCAAUGUUUCCUUGGCCUAUCAGGGCCAAAAAAGUGUAUGUGCCAGACUGCCACAAGACAGUCAUGAGAAAACCAGAAACGAGUGCAAUUCUAUGCAGUUGUGAGCAAGGGUGAGGGUGAAGCAGAUUCAGUUUAGAUAUAAUGUAUAUAGCAUAGUAUAAUAAAGUAAUUAAUUAGCUUUCUGA